GAUGAACGCUGGCGGCGUGCCUAAUACAUGCAAGUCGAGCGAACAGACGAGGAGCUUGCUCCUCUGACGUUAGCGGCGGACGGGUGAGUAACACGUGGAUAACCUACCUAUAAGACUGGGAUAACUUCGGGAAACCGGAGCUAAUACCGGAUAAUAUAUUGAACCGCAUGGUUCAAUAGUGAAAGACGGUUUUGCUGUCACUUAUAGAUGGAUCCGCGCCGCAUUAGCUAGUUGGUAAGGUAACGGCUUACCAAGGCAACGAUGCGUAGCCGACCUGAGAGGGUGAUCGGCCACGCUGGAACUGAGACACGGUCCAGACUCCUAAGGGAGGCAGCAGUAGGGAAUCUUCCGCAAUGGGCGAAAGCCUGACGGAGCAACGCCGCGUGAGUGAUGAAGGUCUUCGGAUCGUAAAACUCUGUUAUUAGGGAAGAACAAAUGUGUAAGUAACUAUGCACGUCUUGACGGUACCUAAUCAGAAAGCCACGGCUAACUACGUG
rnacentral:rRNA from 1 species